GACGAACGCUGGCGGCGUGCUUAACACAUGCAAGUCGAACGGAAAGGCCCUGCUUUUGUGGGGUGCUCGAGUGGCGAACGGGUGAGUAACACGUGAGUAACCUGCCCUUGACUUUGGGAUAACUUCAGGAAACUGGGGCUAAUACCGGAUAGGAGCUCCUGCUGCAUGGUGGGGGUUGGAAAGUUUCGGCGGUUGGGGAUGGACUCGCGGCUUAUCGGCUUGUUGGUGGGGUAGUGGCUUACCAAGGCUUUGACGGGUAGCCGGCCUGAGAGGGUGACCGGCGACAUUGGGACUGAGAGACGGCCCAGACGCCUACGGGAGGCAGCAGGGGGGAGUAUUGCACAAUGGGCGGAAGCCUGAUGCAGCAACGCCGCGUGCGGGAUGACGGCCUUCGGGUUGUAAACCGCUUUCGCAUGUGACGAAGCGUGAGUGACGGUAAUGGGUAAAGAAGCACCGGCUAACUACGUG
rnacentral:rRNA from 1 species